UUGAUUUUCUUUUGGCAUGCAUAUUCCUUGAUGCUUCUUUAAACCGAUGUCAAGGUUAUUUUUUUCAAAAAAAUUCUGAUAAUGUGUAAUUUCUUGGUUCAAGUUCGUGAAUUUCAAUUAUAAAACAUGAAAAGUUACUUACAAUGGCUCAUCAUGUUCGUCCUCGUCCAUAGCGAGCGACAAAAGCAAUGCUUCUUCUUGUAAACACUGAUCCAUAUUUAAAAAAAUUGAACUAAAUUAUUAGCUACUAACUACACUGCAUUCAUGUGCGAUAAGAAAGGUGUGCACUACUGAUUCCCGCCUUGAUUUCCGAGCGGUCUACCGAACAGAUUCGGUAGACCGAAUUACCGACGCGAUCUACCGCUUGCGAUAAUAUCGCUUUCCUCGGUAUAUCGCUGCUGUGUGCACGUUCUCAUUUACCGCUAUGUAAUAACAUAUCGUACCGAAUCGUCCCGAGCCCUGUAUCGCGUCUGUCUGUGAAUGCCUUAAAUUAUAUUUGAUGCAUUGUUUUCAAUUGGAGUGCGAAUACCUAUACGAUGCGG